AUGUUUGCUUUGGCAGCAUGUGUACUGAAGUUGGAAUAAUACAGAGGAGAUCAUCAUGGCCCUCUGUGCAAGGAUUAUACAUAAAUUCCUGAAGCUUUUCAUAUCCAU
rnacentral:snRNA from 1 species